rnacentral:rRNA from 1 species
UACGUAGGGUGCGAGCGUUGUCCGGAAUUACUGGGCGUAAAGAGCUCAUAGGUGGUUUGUCGCGUUGUUCGUGAAAACUCACAACUCAAUUGUGGGCGUGCGGGCGAUACGGGCAGACUGGAGUACUGCAGGGGAGACUGGAAUUCCUGGUGUAGCGGUGGAAUGCGCAGAUAUCAGGAGGAACACCGGUGGCGAAGGCGGGUCUCUGGGCAGUAACUGACGCUGAGGAGCGAAAGCGUGGGGAGCGAACAGG